CGUGUAGGCGGUCGGGUAAGUGGAAUGUGAAAUGCCCCGGCUCACCCGGGGACCUGCAUCCCAAACUGCCCGACUUGAGUAUGGGAGAGGAUGGAGGAAUUCCUGGUGUAGCGGUGAAAUGCGUAGAUAUCAGGAGGAACACCGGUGGCGAAGGCGUCCAUCUGGCCCAAUACUGACGCUGAGGCGCGAAAGCUAGGGGAGCGAACGGGAUUGGAUACCCCGGUAGUCCUAGCCGUAAACGGUGAUCACUAGGUGUUGGGGGCAUCGACCCCUCCAGUGCCGCAGCUAACGCAUUAAGUGAUCCGCCUGGGGAGUACGGCCGCAAGGUUGAA
rnacentral:rRNA from 1 species